rnacentral:tRNA from 1 species
GCGAGAGUAGCUCAAUUGGUUAGAGUGCCAGUCUUCCAAACUGGAAGUUGAGGGUUCGAACCCCUUUUCUCGCA